rnacentral:rRNA from 1 species
UCGCAUGGUGGGGGUUGGAAAGAUUUUUUGGUCUGGGAUGGGCUCGCGGCCUAUCAGCUUGUUGGUGAGGUAAUGGCUCACCAAGGCGUCGACGGGUAGCCGGCCUGAGAGGGUGACCGGCCACACUGGGACUGAGACACGGCCCAGACUCCUACGGGAGGCAGCAGUGGGGAAUAUUGCACAAUGGGCGGAAGCCUGAUGCAGCAACGCCGCGUGAGGGAUGACGGCCUUCGGGUUGUAAACCUCUUUUAGCAGGGAAGAAGCGAGAGUGACGGUACCUGCAGAAAAAGCGCCGGCUAACUACGUGCCAGCAGCCGCGGUAAUACGUAGGGCGCAAGCGUUAUCCGGAAUUAUUGGGCGUAAAGAGCUCGUAGGCGGUUUGUCGCGUCUGCUGUGAAAUCCCGAGGCUCAACCUCGGGCCUGCAGUGGGUACGGGCAGACUAGAGUGCGGUAGGGGAGAUUGGAAUUCCUGGUGUAGCGGUGGAAUGCGCAGAUAUCAGGAGGAACACCGAUGGCGAAGGCAGAUCUCUGGGCCGUAACUGACGCUGAGGAGCGAAAGGGUGGGGAGCAAACAGGCUUAGAUACCCUGGUAGUCCACCCCGUAAACGUUGGGAACUAGUUGUGGGGACCAUUCCACGGUUUCCGUGACGCAGCUAACGCAUUAAGUUCCCCGCCUGGGGAGUACGGCCGCAAGGCUAAAACUCAAAGGAAUUGACGGGGACCCGCACAAGCGGCGGAGCAUGCGGAUUAAUUCGAUGCAACGCGAAGAACCUUACCAAGGCUUGACAUACACCAGAACACCGUAGAAAUACGGGACUCUUUGG